AUUGUCUAUUCGUUCCGUUCCCCGCUCGCUCUCAGCUCCAUUUGGUUUGCUGCCUUUUCUGCGGUGAAAUCGUAAGAAACGAUUCUUAAUUUUGGAACCAAGGAUUCCUUUUUUUUUUUUGGCUACGCUUAUCAUUGAUCUCAUUUUCCUUGAUAUUUUUGUCCACGCGUUUGUUCCAUUCCUAAAUGGCUUGCGAUCGGUCGAUCUAAGAUUAGGGUUUCACUUCCCGUUCUUCAUUUUGUUUCUUGCUAAAAUCUACCUCGUUUUUGUGAAUUUUUGUCUGUGCAGAUUUAACGAGGGCACUGCCCCGAGAAUCUUUUGUACGAUCUACCAUUAUUUUUUUAUUUAUUUUAAUACAAGUUGUAGAUUUCAAAGAUCAUUGACCUCCAAAGUCACCUUCUAAGUUUAGGGUUUUGGAAUGAGAAAUGGAUUUGCUGUAAUUUGUGGACUCAACUUCUACGCUGGACUUAAUUAGAUCAAUAAAUUAGUCCUUAUUUUGGCAACCGAACCCUGCUUCGAGUGGAAAUGUGAAUGAAAGAAUUAGGAAAGAACAAGUAACAUCAACAAUGGGCGAAGUAGUUCAAAAGCUACGAGCGCCACUACUGUGAGAUCUCGGCAUCUCUGUCGCGCGAGUGUACAUCGACUGCUUCUCUGUGUGGAGGUAAGAUACAGUGGCAUGCCUUGUAAUUGAGAUUUAUUCUUAUGGUAAUCUAUUUAUUUGUGUGCUCUACAGAGCAGAAGAAGUAGAAAGUUUGUGAGAUUAAAGUUUAAACCUGGACUCGAUGAUGCAGAACUUUUGGUAAUAUUUGGACCUGGCCCUUUUUCUGGGUUCCUCAGUCGGAGAUUACCGGUGGUCUUACUUGAUAUUAUCGUGAUUAGGAGCUAGGCUGUUGCCCCCUCUCAUAAUUUGCAUAUGCUUUGGAUAAACUUGAUCAUAAAUUGGUUGUUGGGUGGUUGGUGCUACUUUACAAAAUUGGCAUUGGAUAGCCUGUCACUCUGUAUCUCCAACAUUAUAUGCCUGAAAACUUGUGGAGUGCGACGAUAAGUUUGAUCUCCAUAUCUGUUCCUAUAUCCAUCUUACCUUUGUUUUUCAAAGAUCAUAUAUUGUUUAGACAUUGUUUCUGUUUUUUACUUCAGUCGGUCCUUAGGAUCCCUGGUGUGUUUCCGUGGUUGAUCAGUUUCAGGAUAUUUGAAUAAGAGUAUAUAUUUUUUGAUUGCUAACAGACUUUCAGUGAAAAAGAAACUCACCUUGUUUACGGUGCAUGAAUCUUAUUACUAUCUACAGGAAGGCAAGUGUUUUUGCUAUUUAUCUUUUCACCAUGUGAAUCAGGAUGACAAUUUUAAUUUCUUGUACUUAAGUCCCUGGAAUACAAUUAUUCUUUCUUGUAUUGGAUGGAUCUAAAAUUAUAUGGAUCUAAAAUUAUAACACAAAGUGGAACUGAUGUAUGAAGCAAUACAGGAAGGGGAAUCGUGGAAAAUUCUUUAGGAGGUCCUAAAAUGGUAGAUGAGAACCACUAUCAUAAAAUGGAUUGUUGAAUGUAACUAGUGACUUGAACUGAGAAUAUCUAAGAAAGCUUCUGAUGCAGAAGUAAAAUGUUCCACAAAAAGUAAAACCCAAGACAAGAACUCACAACAGUAUCAUGCCUUAGGAAAUCAAGUCAUAAUUUGUUUGAAUAAAACGUCAGCAAUAUGGACCUUCAAAAUUUUGAGUGUUAUUGUUGUUGCUUAUGAGAUAUUUAAGGUAGUUAUUUAUUCAUUGAUUUUUCAGUAACUAGUGCUUUUUAAUAUAGUAUGUGUGUUUCAUUGGAUUAUGCCAUGUCAUAGAUCUCUGCUGAUCAAAGAUGAAAGCUGCUGAUGUCAACAGAGAGAUUAAACCAAUCUACUAAAAGUAGAUUGGUUAAAGGAGAGCAGAACAAUAUUGGGUGCAGAAACACUUGGUGUCUCAACUCGGCAAGACUUGCACCAACAGCAUCAAUCUCUCUUGCAUGCUUAUAAUGCAGCUACCUUCUGGAUGGUGAUCCCAAGAGGCAAAAUUCGGUACACAGAGGAAGUUUUGACUCGAUCAAGCGGGGAUCAUGUUAUCUUUAUGGUCCAGAUGAAGUAAGAGGGGGAUUGGACUGACGCAAUCAGCUUAGAGUUCGCAGAACUGCUAUUGGCAGACUUGAUUGAGAGUGAUGUUGUUCACUUGGGUAAUCAAAGAGUACCUGUCGCUAUGGAAGCAAUGAAAGCUUUUCUUACCGACUGUUUGGCACAAUAUGGAAUUGGUUUGUCCAUCCUACUUUCUCAACGGCGAAGUUCUCUUUCAGAUAAGCCAAAGAUCUUAUGGCUCACAUUGUUUAUGACCACAAUUGAUUUUUCUUACCUUCUUUACUAAUACAUUUAACCAGAGUACUUUUUCAUAACUCGUCAACAAACUAGAUUCCUGCACCAAACACAAAAAGUAAAAAAUAAAAAUAGGAAACAUUUCAAGGGAUUGUUUCAUCUGCUGAAUUCACAUAUGUUUGGUUUGAUUGAUUGUAUCUAUUGAAACUGAAUACAAGAUGCAUCUCAGAUAUGAUAUAAUUUUUCUAUUAAGAUUACUGCUUUUUGUAUGCAUUCCAUCAAAUGUAGCCUGAUGCUGCAUGAUUGCACUAUCUUAGGCAGUAGGUUAAAAGACAGAAUCUGCAAAGUGUUUGCUCUAGCCACAAGAAAAGUGGUGGCUUUCAAGUUUUGAUUUCAUUUCUGCUCGUCUGUUUUUCCCCUAAAUGGAGUAUUGAAUUGAUAUUUUUGAGCUUGAUUUGAAUUGCAGCUACAUGGAGUGGCUGAUAACAUUGGUAAGAGUAGGAAAUUCCCCACUGGCAUGUCGAAAAGAAUGGAUAGGAGCAAGUGGGCAAUCAAUAGCAUCGACAUUGUGCUGGUUUUGGACAAUUUGUUGAUCCUGUAGGUUGAGCUCACCCAUUAAGAAUUACUGCAAAUUUUGUUAAUUUAGUCUUCCAAUUCAUUACAUACUCGAGUGCUCUAUGUGGAUGGUUAUCAACUUUUUCAUGGAAAACGCUGCUUCGGUUUUUGAGUGUA